UGGGGCAGGAGCGCCCCCAGCUGACAACGUGAGACUAGACCUCCUUAGGCUCCUGCAGCCUAACCAGAGUUGGAAAAGAGGGCACUUCUGGCAGCUGGUGAGGGUGGAUCUGGAAGACAGAGGCAAGUGGGGAGUCUAGUCUUGGACGCGGUGAUGGUUGGACUGCAGCUAGAAAGGAAGACAGAUUAGCACCCUAAAGCUGUUCAGAACCUGGUGAACAUGCCUGAACUUUUGGGGCUUCGUUCUUGGUCUCCCAAACAAUACACUUGGAGGAGUUCCCACACCUGCUGCUCGUCUGCUUGCUUGGAGACCUGGUAGUCUCAGUCAUCUUCAGACCGCUACAGGUGACCUGGUUGUAUGGAAUUUCCUGGGUGCCAGCCAUGGAAAGAAGGAGAUCAGAACCAUCAGAGUAGGGGAGGGGGGCAUUCCUUUCUCAUGCCUUCUGGCCCAUUCCCUAACGACCUCCAGGCCUCAUCCCCAACACCCUGAAUCUAGGCCUCUCCAGCACCAAAAGGAGGCCAGGGCACACCCCAGCCCACAAAGGAGGCCAGGGCACACCCCAGCCCACAAAGAGGCUCGCCCUAAGCAACCCACACAAAGCACCUUGCUGCCUCCACUUCAGUUCUUCCAGAUCCUCCCCCAUGAAGUUUUACUCCAGGACUUACCCACCUGUGCUCUGCCCCAGGGCUCCAACCUCCCUCCACCCAUUCAGCCACAGCUCCUCUGUAGA